ACUUCUCCAGGUCUUACUGUACUGUAAUAAUGUAGCUCUACACCAUUUCUCCAGGUCUUACUGUACUGUAAUACUGUAGCUCUACACCACUUCUCCAGGUCUUACUGUACUGUAAUAAUGUAGCUCUACACCACUUCUCCAGGUCUUACUGUACUGUAAUACUGUAGCUCUACACCACUUCUCCAGGUCUUACUGUACUGUAAUAAUGUAGCUCUACACCAUUUCUCCAGGUCUUACUGUACUGUAAUAAUGUAGCUCUACACCACUUCUCCAGGUCUUACUGUACUGUAAUACUGUAGCUCUACGCCAUUUCUCCAGGUCUUACUGUACUGUAAUACUGUAGCUCUACGCCAUUUCUCCAGGUCUUACUGUACUGUAAUAAUGUAGCUCUACACCACUUCUCCAGGUCUUACUGUACUGUAAUACUGUAGCUCUACACCAUUUCUCCAGGUCUUACUGUACUGUAAUACUGUAGCUCUACACCAUUUCUCCAGGUCUUACUGUACUGUAAUACUGUAGCUCUACACCAUUUCUCCAGGUCUUACUCUACUGUAAUACUGUAGCUCUACACCACUUCUCCAGGUCUUACUGUACUGUAAUACUGUAGCUUCUCCAGGUAAUAAAUAAAAUAAAAUAAAAUAAAAUUCAGAUAUAAAAGCUCAGUUCUGAUGAUAUCCACUGUGUUCUGUUUGUAAAACAGGACAGUAUCCUUUUCAGACACAUUAAAAUAUAAGUUUAAAAACAUUUGUUUUGUUUAAAUGGGUUUAAAAACUACAUUUUCCAUGUAGCCAGAGUGUUUUGCCUACAUUUUAGCCCUGUUUUGACCCCACCCACCAUCCUGGAACGUUUUGCUACCCGAUGUCCAAUUAGGGAAAGCCUAAUAAUUUCCUCCAAUCGGUAGUUGGUCCUCGCUUGAAUAGCGCACUAAUGGAAUUCUGUGUUUGAGUUACCACUGAAAACAAAUCAAGUUGCCGUUGCUACUGACAUCUAAAGGCGAACUGUGUUAUUGUAGUUUCAGUGUGAUGUCUGGAAAUAGUGGUCCUCACAGGAAGAAGAAAUGUCAUGGUCCUCACAGCUGCAUUGUAAACCUGUAUGUGUGUGUGUGUGUAUAGUGUGCAUGUGUGUGUAUGGUCUGUGAGAGUGUGUGUGUAUAGUGUGUGUUAAUGUGAUAUUUAGUGUGAUAUGGUCACUCUGUCUCUCUCUUGGUGACAGGCUGUGAUAUAUUGAGCUGCCAGAGUGCUCAUCUAACAGAUAGGGGAGUUUCUCUCUCCGUUGCUUUCUCUCCCUCACACUCUCUAUCUUGCUCUCUUUCUCACUCCCCAUUCUCUUUCUCUCUCACUCUAUGUCUCUUGCCCUUUUAAAUGCACCUUAUAGUUAGAAAGUUAUUUUUUACUGUCUUUAAUUGGGUAAAUAUUUGUAGAUUUUU